rnacentral:rRNA from 1 species
UAGAGUUUGAUCCUGGCUCAGGAUGAACGCUAGCGGCAGGCCUAACACAUGCAAGUCGAACGGUAACAGAUCUAGCUUGCUAGAUGCUGACGAGUGGCGCACGGGUGCGUAACGCGUAUACAAUCUACCUCUAACUGAGGGAUAGCCCAGAGAAAUUUGGAUUAAUACCUCAUAGUAUUAUAGAAAGGCAUCUUUUUAUAAUUAAAACUCCGGUGGUUAGAGAUGAGUAUGCGUCCUAUUAGCUAGUUGGUAAGGUAAUAGCUUACCAAGGCAACGAUAGGUAGGGGGCCUGAAAGGGUGAUCCCCCACACUGGUACUGAGACACGGACCAGACUCCUACGGGAGGCAGCAGUGAGGAAUAUUGCACAAUGGAGGAAACUCUGAUGCAGCCAUGCCGCGUGCAGGAUGAAUGCCCUAUGGGUUGUAAACUGCUUUUAUACAAGAAGAAACAUCAGUACGUGUACUGACUUGACGGUAUUGUAUGAAUAAGCACCGGCUAACUCCGUGCCAGCAGCCGCGGUAAUACGGAGGGUGCAAGCGUUAUCCGGAUUUAUUAGGUUUAAAGGGUCCGCAGGCGGAAUAUUAAGUCAGUGGUGAAAGCCUACAGCUCAACUGUAGAACUGCCAUUGAAACUGUUAUUCUUGAGUAUGGAUGAAGUGGGCGGAAUAUGUCAUGUAGCGGUGAAAUGCAUAGAUAUGACAUGGAACACCAAUUGCGAAGGCAGCUCACUAAACCAUUACUGACGCUCAUGGACGAAAGCGUGGGGAGCGAACAGGAUUAGAUACCCUGCUAGUCCACGCCGUAAACGAUGAUCACUAGAUGUUGGCGAUAUAAUGUCAGCGUUCAAGAGAAAUCGAUAAGUGAUCCACCUGGGGAGUACGUUCGCAAGAAUGAAACUCAAAGGAAUUGACGGGGGCCCGCACAAGCGGAGGAGCAUGUGGUUUAAUUCGAUGAUACGCGAGGAACCUUACCAAGGCUUAAAUGUAAUAUGACCGGUUGAGAGAUCAACCUUUUUUCGAACAGAUUACAAGGUGCUGCAUGGUUGUCGUCAGCUCGUGCCGUGAGGUGUCGGGUUAAGUCCCAUAACGAGCGCAACCCCUAUUUUUAGUUACCAGCGAGUAAUGUCGGGAACUCUAGAAAAACUGCCUGUGCAAACAGAGAGGAAGGUGGGGAUGACGUCAAAUCAUCACGGCCCUUAUGUCUUGGGCUACACACGUGCUACAAUGGUUACUACAAUGUGAUGCCAUCUGGUGACAGAGAGCUAAUCAAUAAAGGUAAUCUCAGUUCGGAUCGGAGUCUGCAACUCGACUCUGUGAAGUUGGAUUCGCUAGUAAUCGUAUAUCAGCCAUGAUACGGUGAAUACGUUCCCGGGCCUUGUACACACCGCCCGUCAAGCCAUGGAAGUUUGGGGUACCUGAAGUCAGUAACCGCAAGGAACUGCCUAGGGUAAAACAAAUAACUAGGGCUAAGUCGUAACAAGGUAACCA